UGCCAGCAGCCGCGGUAAUACGGAGGGUGCAAGCGUUGUCCGGAAUCACUGGGUGUAAAGGGUGUGUAGGCGGGACUGUUAGUCAGAGGUGAAAUCCCACGGCUUAACCGUGGAACUGCCUUUGAUACUGCAGUUCUUGAGUCCUGGAGAGGCCACUGGAAUUCGUGGUGUAGCGGUGAAAUGCGUAGAUAUCACGAGGAACACCAGAUGCGUAGGCGGGUGGCUGGACAGGUACUGACGCUGAGGCACGAAAGCGUGGGGAGCAAACAGGAUUAGAUA
rnacentral:rRNA from 1 species